rnacentral:rRNA from 1 species
AGAGUUUGAUCCUGGCUCAGGAUGAACGCUAGCGACAGGCUUAACACAUGCAAGUCGAGGGGCAGCAUGAGGUAGCAAUACCUUGAUGGCGACCGGCGCACGGGUGAGUAACGCGUAUGCAACCUGCCCGAUACCGGGGUAUAGCCCAUGGAAACGUGGAUUAACACCCCAUAGUACUUUUAUCCUGCAUGGGAUGUGAGUUAAAUGUUCAAGGUAUCGGAUGGGCAUGCGUCCUAUUAGUUAGUUGGCGGGGUAACAGCCCACCAAGACGAUGAUAGGUAGGGGUUCUGAGAGGAAGGUCCCCCACAUUGGAACUGAGACACGGUCCAAACUCCUACGGGAGGCAGCAGUGAGGAAUAUUGGUCAAUGGACGAGAGUCUGAACCAGCCAAGUAGCGUGAAGGAUGACUGCCCUAUGGGUUGUAAACUUCUUUUAUAUGGGAAUAAAGUGAGCCACGUGUGGCUUUUUGUAUGUACCAUACGAAUAAGGAUCGGCUAACUCCGUGCCAGCAGCCGCGGUAAUACGGAGGAUCCAAGCGUUAUCCGGAUUUAUUGGGUUUAAAGGGUGCGUAGGCGGUUUGAUAAGUUAGAGGUGAAAUGUUAGGGCUCAACCCUGAAACUGCCUCUAAUACUGUUGGACUAGAGAGUAGUUGCGGUAGGCGGAAUGUAUGGUGUAGCGGUGAAAUGCUUAGAGAUCAUACAGAACACCGAUUGCGAAGGCAGCUUACCAAACUAUAUCUGACGUUGAGGCACGAAAGCGUGGGGAGCAAACAGGAUUAGAUACCCUGGUAGUCCACGCAGUAAACGAUGAUAACUCGUUGUCGGCGAUACACAGUCGGUGACUAAGCGAAAGCGAUAAGUUAUCCACCUGGGGAGUACGUUCGCAAGAAUGAAACUCAAAGGAAUUGACGGGGGCCCGCACAAGCGGAGGAACAUGUGGUUUAAUUCGAUGAUACGCGAGGAACCUUACCCGGGCUUGAAUUGCAACUGAAUGAUGUGGAGACAUGUCAGCCGCAAGGCAGUUGUGAAGGUGCUGCAUGGUUGUCGUCAGCUCGUGCCGUGAGGUGUCGGCUUAAGUGCCAUAACGAGCGCAACCCUUGUUGUCAGUUACUAACAGGUUUUGCUGAGGACUCUGACAAGACUGCCAUCGUAAGAUGUGAGGAAGGUGGGGAUGACGUCAAAUCAGCACGGCCCUUACGUCCGGGGCUACACACGUGUUACAAUGGGGGGUACAGAAGGCAGCUACCUGGUGACAGGAUGCUAAUCCCAAAAACCUCUCUCAGUUCGGAUCGAAGUCUGCAACCCGACUUCGUGAAGCUGGAUUCGCUAGUAAUCGCGCAUCAGCCAUGGCGCGGUGAAUACGUUCCCGGGCCUUGUACACACCGCCCGUCAAGCCAUGGGAGCCGGGGGUACCUGAAGUGCGUAACCGCGAGGAGCGCCCUAGGGUAAAACUGGUGACUGGGGCUAAGUCGUAACAAGGUAGCCGUACCGGAAGGUGCGGCUG